UGUGAGCAAAACGGGAGCCCUACCCCUAUCUACUUCUUUCGUUGCUGUUUUUCCUCCUUCCCUCUUUCUCCUCCUCCCUAUAGUUUUUACUCUACUCCCUUUUCUUGUUUGAUAUGGCUGAGAACUUGAAACCGUUAACCACCCGAUCACGGUAAUGCGUGCGAGGGGAAUUUGCUCACAUUGUUUU
rnacentral:ncRNA from 1 species